rnacentral:rRNA from 1 species
CUACGUGCCAGCAGCCGCGGUAAUACGGAAGGUCCAGGCGUUAUCCGGAUUUAUUGGGUUUAAAGGGAGCGUAGGCUGGAGAUUAAGUGUGUUGUGAAAUGUAGACGCUCAACGUCUGAAUUGCAGCGCAUACUGGUUUCCUUGAGUACGCACAACGUUGGCGGAAUUCGUCGUGUAGCGGUGAAAUGCUUAGAUAUGACGAAGAACUCCGAUUGCGAAGGCAGCUGACGGGAGCGCAACUGACGCUUAAGCUCGAAGGUGCGGGUAUCAAACAGGAUUAGAUACCCUGGUAGUCCGCACAGUAAACGAUGGAUGCCCGCUGUUGGUACCUGGUAUCAGCGGCUAAGCGAAAGCAUUAAGCAUCCCACCUGGGGAGUACGCCGGCAACGGUGAAACUCAAAGGAAUUGACGGGGGCCCGCACAAGCGGAGGAACAUGUGGUUUA